GGAGAUGUAGUUCAGAUGGUAGAGCACUCGCUUAGCAUGCGAGAGGUACGGGGAGAGAUACUUCGCAUCUCCA
rnacentral:tRNA from 1 species